CCUACGGGGGGCUGCAGUGGGGAAUAUUGGACAAUGGGGGGAACCCUGAUCCAGCCAUGCCGCGUGUGUGAAGAAGGCCCUCGGGUUGUAAAGCACUUUCAGUGAGGAAGAACGCCUGGUGGUUAAUACCCAUCAGGAAAGACAUCACUCACAGAACAAGCACCGGCUAACUCCGUGCCAGCAGCCGCGGUAAUACGGAGGGUGCGAGCGUUAAUCGGAAUUACUGGGCGUAAAGCGCGCGUAGGUGGCUUGAUAAGCCGGUUGUGAAAGCCCCGGGCUCAACCUGGGAACGGCAUCCGGAACUGUCAAGCUAGAGUGCAGGAGAGGAAGGUAGAAUUCCCGGUGUAGCGGUGAAAUGCGUAGAGAUCGGGAGGAAUACCAGUGGCGAAGGCGGCCUUCUGGACUGACACUGACACUGAGGUGCGAAAGCGUGGGUAGCAAACAGGAUUAGAUACCCCAGUAGUC
rnacentral:rRNA from 1 species